UUACAUUCAUAGUUCUUCACACCAGUGUGUGUAAGGGUGUGUGUAUCAAGGUUACCCUUCAGGAUGAAUUUUUUCCCACAUUCCUUACAUUCAUAGUUCUUCACACCAGUGUGUGUAAGGGUGUGUCUAUCAAGGUUACCCUUCAGGGUGAAUUUUUUCCCACAUUCCUUACAUUCAUAGUUCUUCACACCAGUGUGUGUAAGGGUGUGUGUAUCAAGGGUACUCUUCUGGAUGAAUUUUUUCCCACAUUCCUUACAUUCAUAGUUUUUCACACCAGUGUGUGUAAGGGUGUGUCUAUCAAGGUGACUCUUCAGGAUGAAUUUUUUCCCACAUUCCUUACAUUCAUAGUUCUUCACACCAGUGUGUGUAAGGGUGUGUGUAUCAAGGCUACCCUUCCGGUUGAAUUUUUUUCCACAUUCCUUACAUUCAUAGUUCUUCACACCAGUGUGUGUAAGGGUGUGUCUAUCAAGGCUACCCUUCCGGUUGAAUUUUUUCCCACAUUCCUUACAUUCAUAGUUCUUCACACCAGUGUGUGAAAGGGUGUGUGUAUCAAGGUGACUCUUCUGGAUGAAUUGUUUCCCACAUUCCUUACAUUCAUAGUUCUUCACACCAGUGUGUGUAAGGGUGUGAUAUCUGAGGCCUUGCCUUGUGGUUAAUUCUUUUCCACACUCCAGACACACAAACUUCCUCUCUCCUUUGUUGCUGUAGUUGCCAGCAGCCAGUUGCUUCAUCUGGUGACCACUGACCCUCCUGCCCCCUGCAGCAGUCUGCUCCUGCUUGUCCUGGCCACUCAUGCUGCUGUCCAGCCCUGCAGGUGAGGCGGCCCCAACCUUUGCGGAAGCUGAGUGUGUUGUUGUUGUCCUCGUUCUUUCCUUGUUCUCUUUUCCUCCAAA